GGCAACGCGCCGGGGUCAUCAACGGCGGACUGUAAAUCUGCCGGCUCAGCCUUCCCAGGUUCGAAUCCUGGCGCCGCCAC
rnacentral:tRNA from 1 species